rnacentral:rRNA from 1 species
AUUGAACGCUGGCGGCAUGCCUAACACAUGCAAGUCGAACGGUAGCGGUUUUUAGCUUGCUAAGAAGCCGACGAGUGGCGAACGGUUGAGUAACGCGUAGGAAUAUGCCUUAGAGAGGGGGACAACCUGGGGAAACUCAGGCUAAUACCGCGUAACGUCUACGGACAAAAGCUGGGGACCUUCGGGCCUGGCGCUUUAAGAAUAGCCUGCGUACGAUUAGCUAGUUGGUGGGGUAAGGGCCUACCAAGGCGACGAUCGUUAGCUGGUCUGAGAGGAUGAUCAGCCAGACUGGGACUGAGACACGGCCCAGACUCCUACGGGAGGCAGCAGUGGGGAAUAUUGGACAAUGGGGGGAACCCUGAUCCAGCCAUGCCGCGUGUGUGAAGAAGGCCUUAUGGUUGUAAAGCACUUUAAGCGAGGAGGAGGCUCUUUUGGUUAAUACCCAAGAUGAGUGGACGUUACUCGCAGAAUAAGCACCGGCUAACUCUGUGCCAGCCGCCGCGGUAA